CACGUAGGGGGCGAGCGUUGUCCGGAUUUAUUGGGCGUAAAGAGCUCGUAGGCGGCUCAGUAAGUCAGGUGUGAAAACUCCAGGCUCAACCUGGAGACGCCACUUGAUACUGCUGUGGCUAGAGUCCGGUAGGGGAGCAUGGAAUUCCUGGUGUAGCGGUGAAAUGCGCAGAUAUCAGGAGGAACACCGGUGGCGAAGGCGGUUCUCUGGGCCUUACCUGACGCUGAGGAGCGAAAGCGUGGGGAGCGAACAGG
rnacentral:rRNA from 1 species